UAAAAUUCUGGGUAAAAAAUACGGCAUGUUUGUCAGCGCCGUCGGUGCACUCUGCUCUGUAGUAUAAUGGUAUUGAAAAAUCGAUUCUCAGUGAACGCAAUGAAAUUUCAUUUUCUGAAUGCUGACAUCCAGUCUUACGACGAUACGUAUAAAAUCACAACUGUAUUCCGUGACCCCGACCGAAAGUGGUUAGUAAUCUGCCCUCAGUUUACGCGCGACUCCAGUCCACGUGACCGGUAUCUUAAACGGUUCUGCUGAGCUCGCGACUGAGCGCUAUGGCGAUUCCUAACUCUGGAGAUGAAGGACUUUUCUUUGGGAUGCUGCACAUUACUGGGAGCUGAAAGGCUGGAUAGGCCUGACCGCUUCUUUCAGCACCAUGGCAGGAUGGCGAGGAAGAAGGCAUUGAGUGAGAGAGAGAGACCACAAUGGUGAAAGAGGAGAUGAGACAGCUGACGACAAUCCAAAUAUCAGUGAAGCUUUAUGUGAAGUUCUGGAUCAAGAGUACUCCAGAAAGUAGUUUUCAACCUCCUUAAUCCUUCAAAGAACUGGACCCAGUACUUUUUGAAGACUGUCCCACUAUACACAUUUUAAGACUCAUGUGAAGAGGUUCCAGCGAUGACUGAAGCUGUUCUGAAGCAAAGGGGUGGUGCUUUUGGUCCUUGAUAUUUAACCCUAGAUAUACGUUGCUAGUUGUUUCCAUUAUAUUGUCACCCCCCCAUUGUCAUCAUUCCUUGUAAUUGUCAUUGUUGUGAUGCUUAUGAAAUAUACAAUAAAUAGACAUUUGCUGUA